rnacentral:rRNA from 1 species
UACAUGGGGUGCAAACGUUGCUCGGAAUUAUUGGGCGUAAAGCGCGCGUAGGCGGUUACUCAAGUCGGAUGUGAAAGCCCUCGGCUUAACUGAGGAAGUGCACCCGAAACUGAGUAGCUAGAGUACUAAAGAGGGUCGCGGAAUUCCCGGUGUAGAGGUGAAAUUCGUAGAUAUCGGGAGGAACACCGGUGGCGAAGGCGGCGACCUGGGUAGAUACUGACGCUGAGGAACGAAAGCUAGGGGAGCGAACGGG